GUCCAGGGGCGGGAAAUCGAACCCACAACGUUCCGCUUACCGGGCAGAUGCCAUGUCCACUAGGCUACCCUGGA
rnacentral:tRNA from 1 species